rnacentral:rRNA from 1 species
AGAGUUUGAUCCUGGCUCAGGAUGAACGCUGGCGGCGUGCCUAAUACAUGCAAGUAGAACGCUGAAGCUUGGUGCUUGCACCGAGCGGAUGAGUUGCGAACGGGUGAGUAACGCGUAGGUAACCUGCCUCUUAGCGGGGGAUAACUAUUGGAAACGAUAGCUAAUACCGCAUAAAAGUCGAUAUCGCAUGAUAUUGAUUUGAAAGGUGCAAUUGCAUCACUAAGAGAUGGACCUGCGUUGUGUUAGCUAGUUGGUGAGGUAACGGCUCACCAAGGCGACGAUACAUAGGCGACCUGAGAGGGUGAUCGGCCACACUGGGACUGAGACACGGCCCAGACUCCUACGGGAGGCAGCAGUAGGGAAUCUUCGGCAAUGGGGGCAACCCUGACCGAGCAACGCCGCGUGAGUGAAGAAGGUUUUCGGAUCGUAAAGCUCUGUUGUAAGAGAAGAACGAGUGUGAGAGUGGAAAGUUCACACUGUGACGGUAACUUACCAGAAAGGGACGGCUAACUACGUGCCAGCAGCCGCGGUAAUACGCAGGUCCCGAGCGUUAUCCGGAUUUAUUGGGCGUAAAGCGAGCGCAGGCGGUUAGAUAAGUCUGAAGUUAAAGGCUGUGGCUUAACCAUAGUACGCUUUGGAAACUGUUUAACUUGAGUGCAGAAGGGGAGAGUGGAAUUCCAUGUGUAGCGGUGAAAUGCGUAGAUAUAUGGAGGAACACCGGUGGCGAAAGCGGCUCUCUGGUCUGUAACUGACGCUGAGGCUCGAAAGCGUGGGGAGCAAACAGGAUUAGAUACCCUGGUAGUCCACGCGGUAAACGAUGGAUGCUCGCUGUUUGCGUCUGACGUAAGCGGCCAAGCGAAAGCGUUAAGCAUCCCACCUGGGGAGUACGCCGGCAACGGUGAAACUCAAAGGAAUUGACGGGGGCCCGCACAAGCGGAGGAACAUGUGGUUUAAUUCGAUGAUACGCGAGGAACCUUACCCGGGCUUGAACUGCAGGCGAACGAUUCAGAGAUGAUGAGGCCCUUCGGGGCGCCUGUGGAGGUGCUGCAUGGUUGUCGUCAGCUCGUGCCGUGAGGUGUCGGCUUAAGUGCCAUAACGAGCGCAACCCUUGUUCGUAGUUGCCAUCGGGUUAUGCCGGGCACUCUGCGAAGACUGCCUCCGUAAGGAGUGAGGAAGGUGGGGAUGACGUCAAAUCAGCACGGCCCUUACGUCCGGGGCUACACACGUGUUACAAUGGCAUGUACAGAAAGCUGGGUGUAUGCAAAUACGCUCGAAUCCCUAAAACUUGUCUCAGUUCGGACUGGGGUCUGCAACCCGACCCCACGAAGCUGGAUUCGCUAGUAAUCGCGCAUCAGCCAUGGCGCGGUGAAUACGUUCCCGGGCCUUGUACACACCGCCCGUCAAGCCAUGAAAGCCGGGGGCGCCUAAAGUCCGUGACCGCGAGGGUCGGCCUAGGGUGAAACCGGUGAUUGGGGCUAAGUCGUAACAAGGUA